rnacentral:rRNA from 1 species
GUAUCAAUAAGCGGAGGAAAAGAAACCAACUGGGAUUCCCCUAGUAACGGCGAGUGAAGCGGGAAAAGCUCAACAUUGAAAUCUCACCGGUCUCCGGUGCGAAUUGUAGUUCCUAGAAACGUUUUCGGGGAUAAACUGGAUCCAAGUCCGUUGGAAUGCGGUGCCAUAGAGGGUGAGAGUCCCGUUGGAACCGGAUGUUAUUCCUGUGUGAUACGUUUUCAAAGAGUCGGAUAGUUUGGGAUUGCUGUCCAAAAUGGGUGGUAAAUACCAUCUAAAGCUAAAUAUUGGCGAAGAGACCGAUAGCGCACAAGUA